AGUAAUGCAUAGGUAACUUGCCCCUAAGUUUGGGAUAACAGUUCGAAAGGGCUGCUAAUACCAGAUAUUCUCGUUUUAACAUAAGUUUUGACGAGGAAAGUUUUUUCGCUUAGGGAUAGGCCUAUGUCUGAUUAGUUUGUUGGUGAGGUAAUGGCUCACCAAGACUACGAUCAGUAGCUGGUCUGAGAGGAUGAUCAGCCACACUGGAACUGAGACACGGUCCAGACUCC
rnacentral:rRNA from 1 species